UGGGGAAUCUUGGACAAUGGGGGCAACCCUGAUCCAGCCAUGCCGCGUGAGUGAUGAAGGCCUUAGGGUCGUAAAGCUCUUUCGCCUGUGAAGAUAAUGACGGUAGCAGGUAAAGAAACCCCGGCUAACUCCGUGCCAGCAGCCGCGGUAAUACGGAGGGGGUUAGCGUUGUUCGGGAAUUACUGGGCGUAAAGCGCGCGUAGGCGGACUGAUCAGUCAGGGGUGAAAUCCCGGGGCUCAACCCCGGAACUGCCUUUGAUACUGUCAGUCUUGAGUCCGGAAGAGGCGAGUGGAAUACCGAGUGUAGAGGUGAAAUUCGUAGAUAUUUGGAGGAACACCAGUGGCGAAGGCGGCUCACUGGCUCGAUACUGACGCUGAGGUGCGAAAGUGUGGGGAGCAAACAGGAUUAGAUACCCUGGUAGUCCACACCGUAAACGAUGAAUGCCAGUCGUCGGGUAGCAUGCUAUUCGGUGACACACCUAACGGAUUAAGCAUUCCGCCU
rnacentral:rRNA from 1 species